rnacentral:rRNA from 1 species
UAUGUGAUCGUCUCUCGCAUAUCAAUAAGCGGAGGAAAAGAAACUAACAAGGAUUCCCCUAGUAACGGCGAGUGAAGCGGGAAGAGCUCAAAUUUGAAAUCUUAAAGGGUUUCCCUUUACGAAUUGUAGUUUAAAGAAGUGUUUUCUGUUGAGGUUUUGGUAAAAGUUCUUUGGAAUAGGACAUCAUAGAGGGUGAGAAUCCCGUAUUUGACCUUUACUUUCAACUUUGUGAUACACUUUCAAAGAGUCGGAUUGUUUGGGAAUGCAGUCCAAAAUGGGUGGUAAAUUUCAUCUAAAGCUAAAUAUUGGCGAGAGACCGAUAGCGAACAAGUACCGUGAGGGAAAGAUGAAAAGAACUUUGAAAAGAGAGUUAAACAGUACGUGAAAUUGAUCAAAAGGGAAGCGUUUGACACCAGUGUUGUUUUUCUGAAAAUCAAUUAAAGAACUGUUUAUGCUAAGUUGUUUAGACUUUAUCAGCUAACUGUUUAGUUUUGAGCUUUUCUUUAAUGCACUUUUCAGUUAACAAGUCAACAUCAAUUUCUUUUGCUGUAAAAAAGCUUGAGGAAGGUGGCUUGAGAUUCGUCUUAAGUGUUUAUAGCCUCUUGCCUAUGCAGUCGGAGAGAUUGAGGUCUGCAGCGUAGAUCCUUCGGGGCUAAAUGCAUUUGUGCUAAGUUAUAGCAUUUUAUAGACAACUUGUUGACUAUGAUUUGUCUUGUAGCUUACUCGCUUAUGUUAUUUUACCUACGCUUAGGAUGUUGAUAUGCAUGACUGAUAU